UUUUCAGCCAUUUGGGGAGGUGUUCUGGCUCACCGUCCGGCAGCUCUUGGACAUAAAUCAUCACACGACCUUGCCAGUUGACCCAAGGACAUGCUGCUGCUUUUGAAUGCUGAAAUAACAUUUGCACUGUGAGGAGAUCUGCCGUGCGGUUCCACAGGAAUGAGUAAACCGCACAGCCUUUCCCGGUCCUGCAGGAUGGCCUCUCUAAGGCUGAUGCUGACAGAUUUAUAGCUAUCUGGAACUGGAGAGAUUUUGAAUUAGUUUUGUUCAAACAAACUUCUUUCUCCACUUUUUUUUUUUUCUAGCAACUCGUCAAUCUAUACAAAACAGACCAAAAAAAAAAAUGUGCUAAGCCAGACAUGGAGGUUCAAACUUAUAAUUCUAAGCACUUGGGAAGCUGAUGCAGACGGUUUGUCAUGUCAACAAAACCUGCCGAAAUGAUUUACUAAGAACCUACCACCUGUCGGGCCUUGAAGAGACACAGGAAUCAGGAGCGAACUGUGUGCAGGAAAGCUGGCCCCCGUGCAGCUGCACUGAGAGGUGACAUCUUUGGAAGACUAUUGGGAUGAGGGCUCUGUCCUCAUGGAGAGUUAAUCCAUUGGUGGAUUGCUGAGCGCCCAACCUUGCUAUAAAAGUAAGUGCUCUGGUGUCCUUGCUCUGCUACAGCGGUGACAAGACCCUCCCCAGAAGCCAGCACCGUGCUCUUGGACUUGUAACUCUCUAGAACUGUGGGGUCACUUGUGGGGUAACCCAAGCAGGCCCUGAACUUGUUAUGUAACUGAGACUGAUCUCAAACUACUGAUCUUCCUGGUUCCAUCUCUAACAUGCGGGGAUUACAGGCUGUGUCUCCAUGUCUAGCCUCUCUUCUUUGUAAAUGACCCAGUCUGUGGUACUCAGUUAUGGCAACAGAAAAGCGAGAUCCUGAGGCUGUACUAGUCACUUGUUGGUUUAUCUCUCAAUAGGAUGUAAAUCCUCUGUGGAUUAGACCUUGGUUUCAUUCUCUGCUGUACAUCAGAUGGGUGCCUUGUUCAAACUGUGUCACGGGUCCUCUGCUUAACCAUGCUCCUGUUCCAAUUCUUUUUCCUUAACAGUGACCUAUCUUGACGCUUGCUGUAGACAAUUACUUGCUUCUUCAGAGUUCCAUCACCUACUACUCAUUCCUAGACCCUGAAGCUUAAUUUGUCUUUUUUAAAAAAUUAUACAUCAAGCUAACAAGAUGGCGGAAAACAGGUAAAGGUGCUUGCGUCCAAAGCCAGACAACCUGAAUGCAGUCCUCAGGGCAUGCGUGGUAGGAGGAGAGGACUGACUCCCACAAACUGUUCUCUGACAUCCACAAAAUACACAACAACAACAACAAUGAGGGAAGGAAGAGAAAGCAAUACAAUGUAUAGCUUCAUGUUGAGCAAAUGAGGAGGGAAGAAUACAUUGAAACCCUAGGCCUUCAGACAGGGGAUCAGAGAACUCUGAGCUGGAGCUGGCCUGGCCCUUCAUCUUGAGGACUAGCUUUCAUGGUUCCAGAAGAUGCCAUGCAAGUUUACAAAGUAGAGAGGCA
rnacentral:lncRNA from 1 species